rnacentral:lncRNA from 1 species
CGAGCUGCUUGGUACUUCGUUGAUCACCACAUCGAACUCCGUCUGCUCCUCUACAGCAGCAGCCGCACCAGCUCCGUCCCCCGGAGCAGCUACAGCCGCUGCGGCGGGAGCUAAGGAGAGGGGAGAGACGCCGAACUUGUCCUGGAGGUAGUCUACGAGGAUGCGUGCUUCUUCGAGCGUGAGGGACGAGAUUUCGGAUCCGAUUUUCUCGAUUUUUUCAGGAGCUUCGACGGCGGCGAUGGGACGGAGGUGGGUUGCACGGUGGCUGAUGGUGGGAGAAGAAGCACCGAAGCGGAAGGGAAAUUCGAUGGAGGUGGAUCGAGAAGGGAAGUGAUGAGCGGAAGCGAGAGUGGGAGAAGAAGAAGAGGAGCGGAUUGAGCUCGUGAUGGAGAGGGUCGUCGCUGCCAUUGUCACUCUCUUCCUUUCUUCUGGAACUUGUUCUGUGUCCGUAUGAGAUGAAGAAAGGUAGUGAGGAUAGCAAAACAAAGGAUAAGGGGUAGUUUGGGCAGUAAAAUAGAUGCGCACGUCUGCUAUCAUGCGCCAACGAACAUAUAUGGAAGUAAAGAAUGGGGCGUUCCGAAAAUCGAACUCGGGACCUCUCGCACCCAAAGCGAGAAUCAUACCACUAGACCAAACGCCCUUGAUGAUUGCUUUCUUUUUUAACAACAUAAUAUUCACAGUGUUUGUAGUGAAACGUACCUUAAUUUCAAAAGAAGCAUAAGGCAAUCACUUGGUAACCUCUUAUACAAUGUUGUUUGUGUGUUUGGUUUCGCAUCGGUCUUCUAGAGCUUUGUAAGUGAGAUUUCUUCAAACUUUGGAGUUAUGCAUUGCUAAUUUUAGCUACUUGAGCAUAUUAUACGUUCCAGCUUUUUAAAACAAUCUUAAUGCUUCUCCAGGCAUUAAAGAUUAUCAUUGGGUAAACUUAUCUUGAUUGACUGAUUCGAUUUGCGUUCUUUACGUUGUAUGUGCUAGCGGUAGUGGCAACAAGGUACAUAGACUUUCCUUUGUGAUGGUUUUUGCUCGUUCAUAAGUUUAUUUCGUUGUUUUAGUUUUGAUUGAGAAGUCACUACUACUAUAUCCACUGAUGGAAACAAAAGGCGCUUAUGCGCGUGUCGUACUGUCGUGGCACUAUCGCUAGAAUCAAUCCUGUUUUAUCUUAUGACCACAUUCUCUUCUUGUACAUAUAUUUUAUCACUAAGUGAUGAUAUACCGUUGUUGAAUUUAUUUUUUAAUGGUGUUUACAUAUUACAGUACAACUACAAUGUGAUAGGGACCUGUUUUUUCUAUAUACAUAUGUCACCCAGUUUCGCGUGUGAGUGAGUAACUCAUUUCAACAAAUAUGUUAUAUGUAGACUGCAGGUAACGACACAGGCGCCAAUGGAUGAAUCAGUUAUAAGAAACGCAAAUUUGAUUCACAUUAAUAUAUUUUCUCAGAGCUGAAUCAAUAAUCUCAGACACAAACUACAUUCUAAAACAACACAACAAGGAACAAAUCAUACACAACUUCAAGAAAGGAAAAAAAAAAAACACUUUAAGCAAUGGAAACCUUAGCGCCAGCUUCUUCAAGCUGCUUCUUAGCUUCUUCAGCUUCAUCCUUGGUCACACCUUCCUUAAACUUCUUCGGCAACCCUUCGAUAAGCUCCUUCGCUUCCUUCAACGCCAAGCUAGUCAACGCCCUAACCGCUUUGAUCACCGCGAUACGCGCAUUGCUCGGGACUUCGUUGAUCACCACAUCGAACUCCGUCUGCUCUUCCACCGCAGCCGCCGCACCAUCACCGCCUCCCGGAGCAGCCACAGCCGCUGCAGCGGGAGCUAAGGAGAGGGGAGAGACGCCGAACUUGUCCUGGAGGUAGUCCACGAGGAUGCGGGCUUCCUCGAGAGUGAGGGACGAGAUUUCGGAUCCGAUCUUCUCGAUUUUCUCCGGGGCCUCGACGGCGGCGAUGGGACGGAGGUUGGUUGCGCGGUGUGUUAGAGUGGAGGAAGGUGAACCGAGGCG